UUUAAAUAGUUUAAUAAAAAUAUUAAUUUGUGGGAUUAAAGAUAUUACUUAAAAUUUUAA
rnacentral:tRNA from 1 species